UUUUGCAUCUGCACUUGAUCAGGUGUUUGCCGCUCAGCCUUUAAUUCUGUGACAUCUGCAAGUCAUUUAUCUUAUUAAUAUGCGAUAGGCCAGCUAGUACUUUUGUGGAAGGAAAAUAUGUAUUUUUAAGAGAUUAGUUUUCACAUGUGAUAUGUAAAUAUAAGAUAGAACGUGUACUUAUUUCCCACUUUCAUGCCAAUAAUUUUCUUAAUUAAAUCUAUUGCUAUUCACAUUAGCUCAUGGAAA
rnacentral:misc_RNA from 1 species